rnacentral:rRNA from 1 species
UACGUAGGCAGCGAGCGUUGUUCGGAAUUACUGGGCGUAAAGAGUGUGUAGGCGGUGUUCCCAGUCUGUUGUGAAAUCUCCCGGCUUAACUGGGAGGGUGCAGCGGAAACUAGAAUGCUAGAGGGUGGGAGAGGUAAGCGGAAUUCCGGUGGAGCGGUGAAAUGCGUAGAUAUCGGAAGGAACGCCGGUGGCGAAAGCGAUCUGCUGGACCCUUUCUGACGCUGAGGCGCGAAAGCCAGGGGAGCAAACGGG